rnacentral:rRNA from 1 species
CCUACGGGAGGCAGCAGUGGGGAAUUUUGGACAAUGGGGGAAACCCUGAUCCAGCCAUGCCGCGUGAGUGAAGAAGGCCUUCGGGUUGUAAAGCUCUUUCGGCUGGGAAGAAAUCGCACGGGCUAAUACUCUGUGUGGAUGACGGUACCAGCACAAGAAGCACCGGCUAACUACGUGCCAGCAGCCGCGGUAAUACGUAGGGUGCGAGCGUUAAUCGGAAUUACUGGGCGUAAAGCGUGCGCAGGCGGUUGUGCAAGACAGAUGUGAAAUCCCCGGGCUCAACCUGGGAACUGCAUUUGUGACUGCACGACUAGAGUACGGCAGAGGGGGGUAGAAUUCCACGUGUAGCAGUGAAAUGCGUAGAGAUGUGGAGGAAUACCGAUGGCGAAGGCAGCCCCCUGGGUCGAUACUGACGCUCAUGCACGAAAGCGUGGGGAGCAAACAGGAUUAGAUACCCUAGUAGUCCACGCCCUAAACGAUGUCAACUAGUUGUUGGUAGGGUUAAACCUAUUAGUAACGUAGCUAACGCGUGAAGUUGACCGCCUGGGGAGUACGGUCGCAAGAUUAAAACUCAAAGGAAUUGACGG